rnacentral:rRNA from 1 species
CGGGUGAGUAAUGUCUGGGAAGCUGCCUGAUGGAGGGGGAUAACUACUGGAAACGGUAGCUAAUACCGCAUAACGUCGCAAGACCAAAGAGGGGGACCUUCGGGCCUCUUGCCAUCGGAUGUGCCCAGAUGGGAUUAGCUAGUAGGUGGGGUAACGGCUCACCUAGGCGACGAUCCCUAGCUGGUCUGAGAGGAUGACCAGCCACACUGGAACUGAGACACGGUCCAGACUCCUACGGGAGGCAGCAUG